rnacentral:rRNA from 1 species
UCGAGAAUCUUCGGCAAUGGGCGCAAGCCUGACCGAGCAACGCCGCGUGCGGGAUGAAGGCCCUUGGGUUGUAAACCGCUGUCAGGGGGGAUGAAAGCGCAAGCUUGACAGAGCCCCAGAGGAAGCACGGGCUAAGUUCGUGCCAGCAGCCGCGGUAAUACGAACUGUGCGAACGUUAUUCGGAAUCACUGGGCUUACAGGGUGCGUAGGCGGCGGUGCAAGUCAGGUGUGAAAUCCCACAGCUCAACUG